UUCGGAGGAAAGGGGGCCUCUACAUGUAAGCUCUCGCUAAUAGAUGAGCCCAAGUCAGAUUAGCUUGUUGGUAAGGUAACGGCUUACCAAGGCUACGAUCUGUAGCUGGUCUGAGAGGAUGAUCAGCCACACUGGGACUGAGACACGGCCCAGACUCCUACGGGAGGCAGCAGUGGGGAAUAUUGCACAAUGGGCGAAAGCCUGAUGCAGCAAUGCCGCGUGUGUGAAGAAGGCUCUAGGGUUGUAAAGCACUUUCAAUAAGGAAGAAAAGCAUAAGGUUAAUAACCUUAUGUAUUGACAUAACUUAUACAAGAAGCACCGGCUAAUUCCGUGCCAGCAGCCGCGGUAAUACGGAAGGUGCAAGCGUUAAUCGGAAUUACUGGGCGUAAAGCGCGCGUAGGCUGUUAUCUAAGUCGGAUGUGAAAUCCUCGGGCUCAACCUGGGAACUGCAUCCGAAACUGAAUAACUAGAGUAUGGGAGAGGUAAGUAGAAUUUCCGGUGUAGCGGUGAAAUGCGUAGAUAUCGGAAGGAAUACCAGUGGCGAAGGCGGCUUACUGGACCAAUACUGACGCUGAGGUGCGAAAGCGUGGGGAGCGAACAGGAUUAGAUACCCUGGUAGUCCACGCCGUAAACGAUGAGAACUAGAUGUUGGGAGGGUUAGCCUCUCAGUGUCGCAGCUAACGCAUUAAGUUC
rnacentral:rRNA from 1 species